rnacentral:ncRNA from 1 species
UUUGACAAUGAUGUUGAAGACUUAUGCGGGACUAAACACCGCGUAGUAGAUAGAACCUACAUUGGACUUCUUUUAAGGAGAAAACAAAAAAU